rnacentral:rRNA from 1 species
UACGAAGGGGGCUAGCGUUGUUCGGAAUCACUGGGCGUAAAGGGCGCGUAGGCGGCUUUGUAAGUCGGGGGUGAAAGCCUGUGGCUCAACCACAGAAUUGCCUUCGAUACUGCAUGGCUUGAGACCGGAAGAGGUUAGUGGAACUGCGAGUGUAGAGGUGAAAUUCGUAGAUAUUCGCAAGAACACCAGUGGCGAAGGCGGCUGACUGGUCCGGAUCUGACGCUGAGGCGCGAAAGCCAGGGGAGCAAACGGG